GACGAACGCUGGCGGCGUGCUUAACACAUGCAAGUCGAACGGAAAGGCCCUGCUUUUGUGGGGUGCUCGAGUGGCGAACGGGUGAGUAACACGUGAGUAACCUGCCCUUGACUUUGGGAUAACUUCAGGAAACUGGGGCUAAUACCGGAUAGGAGCUCCUGCUGCAUGGUGGGGGUUGGAAAGUUUCGGCGGUUGGGGAUGGACUCGCGGCUUAUCAGCUUGUUGGUGGGGUAGUGGCUUACCAAGGCUUUGACGGGUAGCCGGCCUGAGAGGGUGACCGGCCACAUUGGGACUGAGAUACGGCCCAGACUCCUACGGGAGGCAGCAGUGGGGAAUAUUGCACAAUGGGCGGAAGCCUGAUGCAGGAACGCCGCGUGCGGGAGGACGGCCUUCGGGUUGGAAACCGCUUUCGCCUGUGACGAAGCGUGAGUGACGGUAAUGGGGAAAGAAGCACCGGCUAACUACGG
rnacentral:rRNA from 1 species